UUUCCUACGGGAGGCAGCAGUAAGGAAUAUUGGACAAUGGGGGCAACCCUGAUCCAGCCAUGCCGCGUGAAGGAAGAAGGACCUAUGGUUUGUAAACUUCUUUUGUAGCAGAGAAAACCCUCCCAUGCGUGGGAGGUUGAUAGUAUGCUAAGAAUAAGCAUCGGCUAACUUCGUGCCAGCAGCCGCGGUAAUACGAAGGAUGCGAGCGUUAUCCGGAUUUAUUGGGUUUAAAGGGUGCGUAGGCGGCCUUAUAAGUCAGUGGUGAAAUCCUAUCGCUUAACGAUAGACGUGCCAUUGAUACUGUAGGGCUUGAGUACAGAUGCCGUUGGCGGAAUGUGUCAUGUAGCGGUGAAAUGCAUAGAUAUGACACAGAACACCGAUUGCGAAGGCAGCUGACGAAACUGUAACUGACGCUGAUGCACGAAAGCGUGGGGAUCAAACAGGAUUAGAUACCCUGGUAGUCCACGCCCUAAACUAUGAUUACUCGUUGUGUGCGAUAUACAGCACGUAACUAAGCGAAAGCGUUAAGUAAUCUACCUGGGGAGUACGCCCGCAAGGGUGAAACUCAAAGGAAUUGACGGGGGCCCGCACAAGCGGAGGAGCAUGUGGUUUAAUUCGAUGGUACGCGAGGAACCUUACCAGGGCUUGAAAGUUAGUGACCGAUCCUGAAAGGGAUCUUUCCGUAAGGACACGAAACUAGGUGCUGCAUGGCUGUCGUCAGCUCGUGCCGUGAGGUGUUGGGUUAAGUCCCGCAACGAGCGCAACCCUUACUUCCAGUUGCCAACACGUAGUGGUGGGGACUCUGGAGGAACUGCCCGCGCAAGCGGUGAGGAAGGUGGGGACGACGUCAAGUCAUCACGGCCCUUACGUCCUGGGCUACACACGUGCUACAAUGGCCACUACAGAGGGCAGCUACCUGGCAACAGGAUGCUAAUCCAUCAAAAGUGGUCUCAGUUCGGAUUGGGGUCUGCAACUCGACCCCAUGAAGCUGGAUUCGCUAGUAAUCGCGCAUCAGCAAUGGCGCGGUGAAUACGUUCCCGGGCCUUGUACACACCGCCA
rnacentral:rRNA from 1 species